rnacentral:rRNA from 1 species
UUCGCCAGGGUACUACGAGCGUUAGCUUAAAACCCAAAGGACUUGGCGGUGCCCCAAACCCACCUAGAGGAGCCUGUUCUAUAAUCGAUACCCCCCGCUUUACCUCACCACUUCUUGUCAAUACCGCCUGUAUACCUCCGUCACCAACCUACCCCUUGAGGGAAAUAAAGUAAGUACAAUGAUAUCUUAUCUAAACGUCAGGUCAAGGUGCAGCGUAUGAAGUGGAAAGAAAUGGGCUACAUUUUCUACAUUAGACUACACGAAAGAUUACUAUGAAAUCUAAUCUGAAGGCGGAUUUAACAGUAAAGAGAAACUAGAGUGUUCUCUUUAAACUGGCCCUGGGGCGCGCACACACCGCCCGUCGCCCUCCUCAAUAACUAAUUAAUAAUCUUUAAUAACAAACCUAAGAAUCAGAGGAGGUAAGUCGUAACAUGGUAAGUAUACCGGAAGGUAUGCUUGGAUUAACAAAGUGUAGCUU